AGGGAUGUCACAAUUUCCUGAGACGGAGGCAUCUCUGCACCACAUAGGCUGCGGCACUAUGCAGCUUGAACAGCACGACAAAGCAUCUGAUCUGCCUGCUUUGACAAGUGUGGCUGGGCCUGCAGAAAGAGUAAGCAGACUACUGUGUUGCUGAUCAGUGCUGAUCUCCACGUCCGAGCUGGUCCCACAACAUCCAGGCACCACUGUGCUUUGCUUCAUUGACAAGGUGUGGCUGGGCCUGCAGAAAAGUUGUAAGCAGACUGCAGUGUUGCUGAUCAGUGCUGAUCUCCACGUCCGAGCUGGUCCCACAACAUCCAGGCACCACUGUGCUUUCACAAGAUGCAUACGAGCACUGUUUCAAAAACGCCGAGCACUGUGGAUACGGAGGCAAGGAGGCUGAAGGACCUGAACAAGCACCUGGCCACCAUGCUUCGAGAUGCAAAAUAAAGAUGGUUUGUGUUAAUUGUGG